rnacentral:rRNA from 1 species
UACGUAGGGGGCUAGCGUUGUCCGGAAUCAUUGGGCGUAAAGAGCGUGUAGGCGGCCCGGUAGGUCCGCUGUGAAAGUCGGGGGCUCAACCCUCGAAUGCCGGUGGAUACUGUCGGGCUAGAGUGCGGAAGAGGCGAGUGGAAUUCCUGGUGUAGCGGUGAAAUGCGCAGAUAUCAGGAGGAACACCGAUUGCGAAGGCAGCUCGCUGGGACGUAACUGACGCUGAGACGCGAAAGCGUGGGGAGCAAACAGG